GCUGCCGUAGCUCAGCUGGUAGAGCAGCCGCCUUGUAAGCGGCAGGUCGUCGGAUCGUAACCGACCGGCAGCUCGA
rnacentral:tRNA from 2 species